UAUUUGGUAGGACUGCUCAAGAUUAGCGGCGGACGGGUGAGUAACACGUGGGUAACCUGCCUGUAAGAUUGGGAUAACUCCGGGAAACCGGAGCUAAUACCGGAUAACAAUUUGAACCGCAUGGUUCAAAUUUGAAAGAUGGCUUCUCGCUAUCACUUACAGAUGGACCCGCGGCGCAUUAGCUAGUUGGUGAGGUAACGGCUCACCAAGGCAACGAUGCGUAGCCGACCUGAGAGGGUGAUCGGCCACACUGGGACUGAGACACGGCCCAGACUCCUACGGGAGGCAGCAGUAGGGAAUCUUCCGCAAUGGACGAAAGUCUGACGGAGCAACGCCGCGUGAACGAUGAAGGCCUUCGGGUCGUAAAGUUCUGUUGUUAGGGAAGAACAAGUGCUAGAGUAACUGCUAGCACCUUGACGGUACCUAACCAGAAAGCCACGGCUAACUACGUGCCAGCAGCCGCGGUAAUACGUAGGUGGCAAGCGUUGUCCGGAAUUAUUGGGCGUAAAGCGCGCGCAGGCGGUUUCUUAAGUCUGAUGUGAAAGCCCACGGCUCAACCGUGGAGGGUCAUUGGAAACUGGGGAACUUGAGUGCAGAAGAGGAGAGUGGAAUUCCACGUGUAGCGGUGAAAUGCGUAGAGAUGUGGAGGAACACCAGUGGCGAAGGCGACUCUCUGGUCUGUAACUGACGCUGAGGCGCGAAAGCGUGGGGAGCGAACAGGAUUAGAUACCCUGGUAGUCCACGCCGUAAACGAUGAGUGCUAAGUGUUAGAGGGUUUCCGCCCUUUAGUGCUGCAGCAAACGCAUUAAGCACUCCGCCUGGGGGGAGUACGGUCGCAAGACUGAAACUCAAAGGAAAUUGACGGGGGGCCCGCACAGCGGUGCAGCAUGUGGUUUAAUUCGAAGCAACGCGAAGAACCUUACCAGGUCCUGACAUCCCUUCGCUACUUCUAGAAGAUAGAAAGGUCCCCAUCGGGGGAACGAAGUGAACAGUGUUGCAUGGAUUGUCGUCAGCUCGUGUCCUGGAAAUGUGGGUUAAGUUCCCGCAACGAGCCGACCUGAAUCUAGUGCAGCAUUCAGUUAGGUACAGCUCUA
rnacentral:rRNA from 2 species